GAUGAACGCUAGCGGCAGGCUUAACACAUGCAAGUCGUGGGCAGCGCGGACUUCGGUCUGGCGGCGACCGGCAAACGGGUGCGGAACACGUACGCAACCUCCCUCAGAGCGGGAAUAGCCUCUCGAAAGAGAGAUUAAUACCCCAUAGUAUCUUGAAGACACAUGUCUAUGAGAUUAAAGCUUCGGCACUUUGAGAUGGGCGUGCGGCUGAUUAGGUAGUUGGUAGGUAACGGCCUACCAAGCCGACGAUCAGUAGCUGAUGUGAGAGCAUGAUCAGCCACACGGCACUGAGACACGGGCCCA
rnacentral:rRNA from 1 species